rnacentral:misc_RNA from 1 species
AGAAACUGACUGUGAACAAGUGUAGCAAGAUUUCAUUCUGAUAACGUGUUGUAUUCCACCAGCUCCAAAAGAAUGUCCACAUGGCAAUAUCAUUGCAUCAUCCAUUAGAGCUCCCGUCACUGGGUCUGAUAAAAUGGCUCUCAAGGGCUCUCCAGACUCGCAUGAAAAUGACGAACCUUCCUUUCUUCCACUAAAACCGCAACCAUUCUCCACACCCAUAUCCUUCCCUGCACUACCAGACCCCUCUGUUGCCUGCAAAUACUGCGAGUAAUACAUGUCCCCUUCAGGUUCUGCUAUUGUCACUGUAUUAUUCCCUGUCUGGCCUAUACUCCCACCACCAUCUUUCAUCGCCAUCAAUUCCCCUGUAGCCCCUCCAAAAGAAGGAUGGUGUUUGGGCUUUCCAUUUCCAUUUCCCAUUUUAUCUACAUUACCAGUAUUGCUAGUGGUACUAGUAGUGGUUGUAUUAUUGUUAUUGCUUUUGCCGCUAUUGUUAUUGUUAUUAGUGUUACUAGUACUAGUAUCAACACCAACCAGUGCCCCCACUUCGUUAUCAUGGUCACCAUCACCACCGUCCACGUCAUCAUCAUCAUCGAGGUCGUCAUCAUCGUCGUCCUCGUCACCGUCUGAUUCAUCGCCGCUGGUCCCGUUCCCGUUCCAAUUACGAUUCUCCCGGUACAUAUUGCGCGGGAAUUCGGGGCCGCCCUGGUGGGAGGGGAAGUAACUAUCGUUGGCGGCGUCGGCGGCUG